rnacentral:tRNA from 1 species
GGGGGUGUAGCUCAACUGGCUAGAGCGCUUGCAUGGCAUGCAAGAGGUAAGGGAUUCGACUUCCCUCAUCUCCA